GCAAAUUAUACAUUUCAAAAAGCUGAAAGUUGACAACAUAGACAUCACAAAAACCCAGAAAAGAAUAAAAAUAUAUUUUAUAAACUAUUAUUGAUCCUCUGCUGCCACUCAUCUACAAUGUUUUCAUCUUGCAUGUUUUGGCUAUAUGUUCUCUGAUUUCUUCAUAGGACAAUAAUUUUGUAUUAUCAUUUUCUAUAGGGAGAAAAAAGGUAAUUCUAUCUUUCCUGUAAACAUGGUUGGCCCUAGUUUGGUUGGCCCUCGGUAGUUUGAAAACGUGCAUCUGUUGGCUUCUUUGCUUGGCAUUGGUAAUGUCACACCUCAGCCAUUCUCUGUUCAGCUAUGUGAGCUCCUGAUCAGCCUCCCAGGCCUUUGUCCCUCAAUUCCCCCUCAGCUGCGUCAGCUCAGUCACAGCCUUGCCCACAUGGGCACUUGCCCCUCACCUGCCUCUGCUGCUCCAGUCCUGGGGUAGGGGACAGAGUGGCUAUGGGACCUGGUCGUGAUGACCUCUGAGUGGGAUGCUGAGCAGGGUCUUAUUGGCUCUUUCCUCCUGGAGUUGAAGCGUGUGGAGCCUUGGUGAGUGAGUCCCCCAGAAACACGUGGGAGCCCUGCCAUUGAAGGUGGGCUAGCACCUGUAGUCCUAGGACCCUGCUGGGGAGUGGUGUGUGACAUUUGCUGGGGCAAUGUGCCCUACUGGGGCCACUGUGGCCUCCCAGCCAGCCCUCAAGUAUAAUGCAUUGAGGCACAGAAAGGCCAGUUUUGGGUGUGGGGCCAUGAGGUGCGGGCUCUGGUGGCCUCAUGGUCAGUCCCCCUCUGGUCCUGGGUUAGCAUUUCCCAGAGGGGCCUGGGAUGCCCUGUGAGAAGAGGCUCCCUAGUUGUCUUAGUUCAGGCUACAAAGUACCAUAGACUGGGUGGCUUAUAAACAACAGUCAUUGAUUUCUCACAGCUCUGGUGGCUGGAACUCCAAGCUGGAGUGCCAGCACCACUGAUUUCUGGUGAGGGCUCUCUUCUGGGCUGCAGACAGCUGACUUCUAUCCUUGCAUGGUGGAAAGAGAGCAAAGGAGCGCUCUGUUCUCUUCUUAAAAGUUUACAGCUCACCACUUCCAGCCUGGGAACUCCGUGCUAAUUGAGACUUGGAAAGAAGACAAGCUCCAGCCAUGCUGGGAAGUUUCCUGUCAAGGGCUCCUGAUCACUAAGACAGAUGUACGAACAGCUGAAUGGGGCAGGGGGCAGAGUUCAACUCUCAACUUGUACCCACAUCUUAAAUGUUACUGGUAAGUCAAACAAAGGCAACUACUUGCCUCUUCAUAUACCCCCGGCUAAUGUCUAGUGGUAUUGUGGGAAAAGGAACCUCUGCAACUUGUUACUGCCCAAUUGAACCGGGACUUGUGCCUUAGUUUAACUGGCCAUUCCAUUCGCUUUGGCAAAUUCCAUAAAAUCCCCGAAAAUCCACAUGGCCACCAAAGUUGGAGAGAUCUAAGAAAUUCCUUUAAUCCCAACAUUUAUGUUAACUCAAUAGGAGCCACUAAAGGAGUACUUAAUGAAUUUAAGGACUAAAGGACACAAAAAUAAAUGUGAAAAUGGGACCAGUAGGGGUAAAAAGAAAAAGAGGAGGGAAUUGAAGGAAGUAAUGUAUACAGCCGUCCAUUUCCAAGACAAAGUGCCUUAAAUCAUCUUAGGGCAGCAAACUACAAAAGAAACUGAAAAUACUAGGUCCCUGCUUGAAUAGCCAAUGCCUGCUUGUCAGCCUCCCCUUCCCCCCACCACCCCACUUAGUUGCCCUCACCGGAACCAAAAAAGUUUAGUCUAAAAUAAAAGUUUACUAGUCUGCAAAAUAGCUCGCUUUGUCUUUUCUUAUCAGUCUGUCCAGCUACUUAGGUCAUAAGUCAAAUACUUGAAGAGCUCAUGAGCUAACUAGGAUUGCUAUGCAUUGUGGGCUGCAACAAAAUGCAGCAAGACAACCCUAAAGAAAACACCUAAAGCCCCUGCCUAACAAUCAAUAGCGACGUCCGUCUGGGAAAAUUGUAACCCUGUAGUACUCAACCUAUGAAGAAUGGCAGGGAAGGACCUGCACACUAGGGGAUAAAUUGCUUGUUAAAACUGUGCUGGGUGUGCCUGUGUGUCAAACACCCAAUCUUGCAAAACUGUCGUUACAAGUCUCACUUUGCUGUCCUGUGGGUCUCUAAGUCCAUUCUUUGAGUUUGAACAGUUAAGUUUGUUUCUCAUAGUUUGAAUGCUUAUUUUUGUACUAAAUGUUGUAUUAGGUAUCUUAUGUUUGCUGUCUUAUUUAAUUCUCACAAUAAACCUACAAAGCAGUGGUAUUCUUUCCAUUUCAUGGAUGAAGAAACUGAGGUUCACGGAGGCUCAGUAACUAAUGCAAGCCAAAUGGGUAGUGGAUGAUGGAGUGGGCUGUGAAUUCAGGUUUUCUUGUAUCACUUGACCACAGGCUAAAUGACAAGGGCUACUCUGGGGCCAAUGACAGCUCCUAAGACCCAGAACACAUGCAUGCCUGUCAGGGCAGAGAAAUUGAGUCUGUUUGGAAGCCAACUUAAGCCUUAGGAAUAUAGCCUUUAGAGCAAACGGUUUUAACCCAGGUCAGCAGAUGGAAUUCAUGGGAUCUAUGAACUUGGACAAGAAACACUUCCGCGUCAUUUUCACUAACUUUUCACUGAAUUUAGCACCUCUCUCACCUAUCACGUAGGCAAUAAAUCAGUGUUGGCCAGACCUGUAACUCUGUCAUUAAAAGAAACUACAGAUAUUUGCAUUUCACGUUACAGUGUUUACCAAUAUCUCAAAAUAUUGCUUAUGCAAUUUGUCAUGACUUUGCAUUUAUAGUAAUUAGACCUGCAGCAGACCUUGUUGUUUGUUACUCACAGAAUAUAUAUAUAUAUAUAUAUAUAAUUAUGUUAUGAAUUAGUUUUCAAAAGUGUUUUGAUAACUGUGGUUUAAUAUAAUUUAUUGGUCUUAUUUUGUGCACUUAAAAAUAUUCUUCUGGAAAAGCCUCCAUAUGCCCCACCAGACUGUCAGAGGACUCCAGAUACAGAACGGUCUCGAUGCCCUGACUCAGCAAGAGUGACUGAGUCAAAUCCUGACUGUCUCAUAUACCAGCUGGAGGACAUUAAGUUCUGUAGCCUGGUGGGAUGUCUCUCCUAAAUCAGGGUUUCUCAGCCUUGGCCCUGUUGAUGUUAGGGCUGCAUAAUUCUUUGCUGGGGAUGGUAUGGGGGUGAAUGGGGGCUAGCUCGUGCACUGUGGGAUGUGUGACAUUCCUGGCCUUGACCCACAAGAUGCAAUAGUACCCCACCCCCCAGUAUAUUCCUGGCCUUGACCCACAAGAUGCAAUAGUACCUCACCCCCCGGUUGUGACAACCCAAAAUGCCUCCUCUAGACAUUGUCUCAUGCCCCUGUGGGCAAGAUGGCCCAGUUGAGAACUGCUGUGCUAGAUGUGCAAUGUGAUAUUAGAGGAUUCUUGGGAGUACACUGCGAUCAUGCCUCAAUGCCUGAGUGCUCCAUGUGGCGCUCUAUCCUGUUUUUGUUAGGACACCAGAUUUCAGUAAGUUCAGGGUCAAGAGGGACUGGUCUCUCAGCCUGAGGGUCCACAAGGAAGUCCCUCUGGAGGGUUGGCAGCCUGCACUGGGGUGAUUCCAACUGGGAGUCCAGGGGAGCCCAGUCCUGGCGAGCUGAUGAUGGGAUGGAGAAGAACAGUGACUCAUGGGUGCCUACGGGUGCCCCGGACCUGAAAGAUAGACAGCAGGGGCUAACCCCAGAUAGGCAGGAGUGUAGAAAAUGCCUUCUCCAACCUCAGGGGAUUCUUGGUUCUUUUAAAGCCAGAAGAAUGAGGAUGGCAGGGCCACAAGCUGCCCUAAAGGAUGAUGCAGUGCUGCAGGAGAUUAAGAGGAAGGGGGCAUUUUUAAAUUCUUUUGGAGUACUGAAGGGGAAAUAACAGAAUGGUGAGAGAAGCUACUGGUUUUGAGUGUUGACACCAUGCCAGGUGCUGUUCUAAGCAGCCUAUGUCAACAUGGUACUUAAUUCUUACAGCUAACUAGGAGGUAGAUGCUGUCAAUGUCCUCAUUUGGCAAGGCUCUGAGGCUUAAAUGUCCACUGUCUUGCCUGACUUUCCUUCUGUAAAUGACAGAACUGAAAUGUAAGCCCAGAUGUGUCUAAUUUCAGUGCCCAUGAGUUAAAUCAAUAGGUAGCACUGCCCAAAUGCCAUUCCAGAUACCCAGAAAACCCAAAGCUGAUACUGCUAAACAAAGGUUAGGGGCCCGUGAGAAACUACAGAGGUCAGAGCACUCCUAAGAGACUGAAGGGGCUCAUCUGGGACAGUGUUUGACAAAAAUGCAGGAGAAGGCGGGCCUUCUGUGGACCUCCUGUGACCUAUGGACUUGGGAAUUCCUUGCCUUGUGAAUUCCAUGCCGAUGUUAGACAAGCAUCUGGAUCAAUUACUAAACCUACGUCUCGUCAGCCCUUAGAUGCCAAAUGUGUGGUUGAUAAGAAUCAUUGUCAUUUUUUGACUUUUUAAUAAUAGCCAUUCUGACUGGUAUGAGAUUGGGUAUUUUUAUUCUAAAUAAAUAUUCUUUUUUAUAACAACAACAAACAAAUCACUGUAAGAUCAUAAGUUAACAAAGAACAAAUCAUGCCAGACAAACUUCGUUCUUCUUUAUGGCUCUGCUCUCCUGAUGGCUUGGUGGGAGGUGGGGGUGGAGGGGAAUCUGCAGAUGGCUUUCCAUAGAGCAUCUGCUCCCAGCUCUCAUGAAAUCCGUGAGGACAGAUUUGGAAACAUGAGCUAGACAAUACCAGGGCAGGCUGCUUUCUGGUGGGUUAAAGACCUGUGCUCCAAGGGAACUGAUUAGCCAAUAUGGGCUUAGAGGAAUUCUCAGUGGCAAACUGGAGAUGAUUCAACAAUCAGAAUGAAAAAUGUCACCGUGACAUACUUGUGGAGAAAAGCAAACAGCACCAAGCAAGUAGAUUUUCACUAUAUCUGAGAUACCAGGGAGGGGAGCCAGUAUUACAAAAUUGCCUGGAUUUAAUGAUGAUGAUAAUAGGUAACACCUUUAAGUAUGUACUCUGUCCCCAGGUGUGGUUCUAAGCAUUUUACAUAAAUUAGUUCCUUUAGCACCUCCCAACAACCCUACAAAGUAGGUUAUAUUAUUUUCCACAUUUUACAGUUGAGGAAACUGAGGCGGAGAAUGAUUUCAUAGUUACCAGAUGCCUGAGAUUUAGAGUCCCAUUUAGCUCUGAGAUUGUAUUGGAAGGUGGGGAAAGAGUGGCUUGUAUGUGCACAAAAAGAAGAUAAUCACGGUGUGCCAAGGGGCUUAGCUGUCCCUUUCUCUGGGAGAUUUUUCUCUACCUCCCAAGUGGGGCUAGCGGCCUCUCCUAUGCACUCACAAGGCAUCCGGUACAUGGCGCUGUCCCUGCCCCUCCCCGAGGUUUAUAAUUUCCUAUGUGCAUGUUUGCCUCCCCUCUAGAUUCAUUUCAUCCCUUUAGGACCCUCAGCUUUGAGCACAGUGGCAACGCUGGGGUUUCCAGAAGUGUUGGUAAGGGGAUUGAAAUGAAUGUAAAGAUUGUAAAGUCUGAAGAAGAGACAGAAGGCCCUGGGGCCAGGGGGCAUGCAUGUGUGACAAAAUCUCAACCAAAGGCCACAGGGGAUGAGAAGAUAGAAGGAAGAAGUUGUCAUCCCCUGGAGCAUGGUAUUGAGGGAACCUGUGGGAUGGUCUUUCCCCAAGGCCUCGAUGGCCUCGCGGGGAGAGACCAUGGUAUAGACUCACUGGCCUCUCAUAAGCUUCUCCAGCUCCACAAGCCAAGAAGCCUAUGAAGUCUGUGGAGUUUCAAGUGCUGCACACUGGGCUGCUCACCUUUUCCUUUUAGAGUAAAGAGAUCAAGAAGACAUGGAGGAAAUGUAAAGAUAUAUUGGAAAGUACGUGGUAUAUAAUAUUAACUAAAGUCAAUAGUUUACAUUAGGCUUGGCUCUUGACUUCAGUUAAUAUUAUAUACCACAUAUUGAUUAAUCAGUUGUAACAGUUGUACCACACUAGUGCAAGAUGUUAAAAUAAAAAAAGGUGUGUGUGUGUGUGUGAGAGAGAGAGAGAGAGAGAGAAACAGAAAGACAGAAACAGAUGAGGUGUAUGGGAACUCUUUUUUUAGCAAUUUUUCCAUAACCUAAAAUUGUUCUAAAAAGUAAAAUCUAUUAAAACAAUACAGAGAUCUCUGUGAUCGCACCUAGAACAUACCCGGGAAAUACUGCUGAUGCACUCAUGUGCACUCACAGGAAUCACAGAACUAUACAGAGAUGGGCGCCCUCCUCAUUCCUUGGGGUAGACAGAUAUAGAAACAGGCUCAGCCAACAUCAGAUGUAACUUGCUCACUUUCUUUCCACUUCCCUUCAAUAAAUAUGCAGUAGGUGAACAUGCUUCAUAGAAUGGGAAAUGCUACACAAUUAUUAAAAACGUGUGGGCUAAAUCAAUCUAAGAGAUUGAAGAGAGCUGCUUCAAGUCAUUAUACUCAAGUGGACUCUGGGAGGGGUAGCCUUAGCAUCUGCUCCUUCUGGCCAAGGGCCAAAUGGAUUGGGGUCCCGAGCACAUCCACAGGAGGCCAGAAUGGCUGUAACUGGUGUCUCUUGUCCUGAUUAGAGGGUGAGGGCGGCUUCAGAGUUUCUAGAGUGUGGCCCCCGUCCUAAGGGGGCAUUGGGAUGGGGCUGCUCCUGAGCUGGGAGAAGGAGCUGGGAUGAGUGUCAGGCAGUUGCUGAGGGGUGGAGGAGAAGGAGCGAGCAGUUGCUAAGAGAGCUGGCAGGAGUGGAGCUGGGUGAUGUUUGACUCUGGAUUAAAAAAAUUUUUUAAGCAAGCAAAGAGAAUUUCCACUCUGCCAGAGCUAGGAGACCUUUGAGACCAUCUCUUCCAUCUUCUCACUCUAUAGCUGAGGAAACAGGGCCUGGAGGGAUCCCCCAGAGACCCAGUGGCAGUCCCACACUAGGCUGGGCUGUCCCUGACUCCUAGGCUCAUGCUUUGCAAAAUUGAAUGGGCCUGCAAAACAGCUCUCAAGCCUGAGCACUUCUCCCAUCUCACCCAAGUAACUCCUCUGCCUUGAGCCUUUUAACGGCUUCUCAUUCUGAGAGGAACCACUUACCUCCCCUACCAUGGUAUCUCAGGCCUUGACAGGCUGUCCUUCUCAUCUCUC
rnacentral:lncRNA from 1 species